rnacentral:rRNA from 1 species
GACGAGGGACCUAGCGUUGUUCGGAAUCAUUGGGCGUAAAGGGUGCGUAGGUGGCCAUGUAAGUCAGUUGUGAAAUCCCCGGGCUCAACCCGGGAAGUGCUUCUGAUACUGCUUGGCUUGAAUAUUGGAGAGGUGAGUGGAAUUCCAGGUGUAGUGGUGAAAUACGUAGAUAUCUGGAGGAACACCGGCGGCGAAGGCGGCUCACUGGCCAUAUAUUGACACUGAAGCACGAAAGCGCUGGG